GAUGAACGCUAGCGGCAGGCUUAAUACAUGCAAGUCGAGGGGCAGCACGGUUAGCAAUAACUGGUGGCGACCGGCGCACGGGUGCGUAACACGUAUACAAUCUACCUUAAACAGGGGGAUAGCCUUUCGAAAGAGAGAUUAAUACCCCGUAAUAAAUUGAACGGCAUCGUUUGAUUUUGAAAGCUCCGGCGGUUUGAGAUGAGUAUGCGUCUGAUUAGCUAGUUGGUGAGGUAACGGCUCACCAAGGCGACGAUCAGUAGGGGAUCUGAGAGGACUAACCCCCACACUGGUACUGAGACACGGACCAGACUCCUACGGGAGGCAGCAGUAAGGAAUAUUGGGUCAAUGGAGGCAACUCUGAACCAGCCAUGCCGCGUGCAGGAUGACGGCCUAUGGUUGUAAACUGCUUUUGCCAGGGGAUAAAAUUUCCAUGCGUGGAAAACUGAAGGUACCUGGUGAAUAAGCCACGGCUAAACUACGUGCCAGCAGCCGCGGUAAU
rnacentral:rRNA from 1 species